GUUUUUAUUUGCUUUUCAACAUCCAUUUCAUAGUGGGACAUGUGGCUUUGAUUAAUAUUGCCAUAAAGACUGCCGAAAAUGGGUGUGGUACAGAAACCCAGAAAUGGAAAUGGCAGUAACAUCAAACAUGGAUUAGAAUUUUAGCGGUGGAUCAAGUCAAGUCUGGAAGUGUUACAGGAUGGAAGAGUUGGCCUACAGUUGAAAAAACAUUGAGAGUGCAUUACCAUUAAGGUAUGAGGUAAAGUAAUAGAGUAAUGCAAAUUGUCUAAUGAGAAGUAUCAUCUUGUGUUCAUGAAUCCGGUAUAACAGCAAUCCUUUAUAGUUCUGUCACAGCUAGAAGCCUCAAAUAAUUCUGCUUCUCUGGCUAAAGAACAACUUGUCCUUUACGUUCAGAGUCUUGGUGAAACUGGGUACUUAAAUGGCCCUAAAGAUAUUUCACUUCGCUGACGUUGCAGCGAUGAACAUCAUACAUGGACGCUUUAGGAAAGGAUUUUCAUCAUACUGGGAACACAACUAUCAACAAUGCAACAUUCUGCGGGUGCUAGUUUAUCAUUCAAGAG